UACGAAGGGGGCUAGCGUUGCUCGGAAUCACGUGGGCGUAAAGCGCACGUAGGCGGCUUCUUAAGUCAGGGGUGAAAUCCUGGAGCUCAACUCCAGAACUGCCUCUGAUACUGAGGAGCUCGAGUCCGGGAGAGGUGGAGUGGAACUCCGAGUGUAGAGGUGGAAAAUUCGUAGAUAUUCGGAAGAACACCAGUGGCGAAGGCGGACU
rnacentral:rRNA from 1 species